UACGGGGGGGGCAAGCGUUGUUCGGAAUUACUAGGCGUAAAGGGCUCGUAGGCGGCCAACUAAGUCAUACGUGAAAUCCCUCGGCUUAACCGGGGAACUGCGUGUGAUACUGGAUGGCUGGAGUUUGGGAGAGGGAUGCGGAAUUCCAGGUGUAGCGGUGAAAUGCGUAGAUAUCUGGAGGAACACCGGUGGCGAAGGCGGCAUCCUGGACCAAUACUGACGCUGAGGAGCGAAAGCCAGGGGAGCAAACGGG
rnacentral:rRNA from 1 species